AUCGGCAAACGUCCCCAAAUCAAUUCGACAAGAGAAAAUCCCUAAACCUUAUUACCAAGACGACGUCGCCGCUCGCACUACCGUAGCCGCCGUGGAACCUCUGUCGAGUUACUAAAGAGAAGGUCGUAUUGUUUAGCAAGCAAAUCCUACUGCUGUGAGUGAGCUUGUGGGCAUCUACAUGCAAGCCAUGUAGGACAGCAAACGAUGUGGUCAUUUACAGGCAAUUGCUUAUACGAUGGAUGGAGCUAUUUUGUUUAUUCUCCCCAAAUUUACAACAAAAUACGUAAACAUAUAUAU